AUAAAGUUUUAUUCUAACUUAGUUAUUCAGUUUUUAGAUUAUUUUAUAUGUAAAUUUUUGUGGUGUAUUAAUAUAUUUUAGAUAAAUAUAUAGCUAUUAUUUAUUCGCAAUAUGUAGUUUUAAAAAUAAAGGAAAUUUUGAUUUAGGAAUUUAAUAUUAGUAUUAACAAAAUUUGUGCCAGCAGUUGCGGUUACACAAAUAAUGCAGUUGAAUAUUAUUGGUUAAUAAUUAGUUGGUUAUUUAUAAUAUAAGUUUAAAGUUAUUAGGUGAAAUUAUUAAUUUUAAUUAAAGUUAUUAAAUAUAAAAUGAGGUUAUGAAAUUUUUUUUAUAGACUAGGAUUAGAUACCCUAUUAUUAAAAAUUUAAAUUGUAAUACCAGAUUAGUAAUAGUUAUGUUCUUGAAAUUUAAAGAAUCUGGCGGUAUUUUAGUCUAUUCAGAGGAACCUGUCCUGUAAUUGAUGAUCCACGAUUAAAUGUACUUAUUUUUGGUUUGUAUAUCGUCGUAGUUUGAAUGUUUUAUAAGAAAAUGUAAUGUUCAAGAUUUAUAAUGUUAAAAGAAAUCAGAUCAAGAUACAGCGUAUAGAUAAGAAGAGAUGGGUUACAAUAAAUGUAUUUAUAUGGUUAGUUUAAUUUAAAUUAUUCUAUAAAGUGGAUUUGAAAGUAAUAUAAUUAAUUUAAGUUAUAUGAUUUUAGCUCUAAAAUAUGCACAUAUCGCCCGUCGCUCCCAUUUUAAGAUGGGAUAAGUCGUAACAAAGUAGGUGUACUGGAAAGUGUACCUAGUAAGGC
rnacentral:ncRNA from 1 species